rnacentral:tRNA from 1 species
GCGGACGUGGCGAAACCGGUAGACGCAGCGGACUUAAAAUCCGCCUGAGAAUUCAGUGCGGGUUCGAGCCCCGCCGUCCGCA